AUUGAACGCUGGCGGCAUGCCUUACACAUGCAAGUCGAACGGUAACGCGGGGCAACCUGGCGACGAGUGGCGAACGGGUGAGUAAUAUAUCGGAACGUGCCCAGUAGUGGGGGAUAGCCCGGCGAAAGCCGGAUUAAUACCGCAUACGACCUACGGGUGAAAGCGGGGGAUCGCAAGACCUCGCGCCAUUGGAGCGGCCGAUAUCAGAUUAGGUAGUUGGUGGGGUAAAGGCCUACCAAGCCAACGAUCUGUAGCUGGUCUGAGAGGACGACCAGCCACACUGGGACUGAGACACGGCCCAGACUCCUACGGGAGGCAG
rnacentral:rRNA from 1 species